rnacentral:rRNA from 1 species
GGUUAAGCGACUAAGUGUACACGGUGGAUGCCCUGGCAGUCAGAGGCGAUGAAGGACGUGCUAAUCUGCGAUAAGCGUCGGUAAGGUGAUAUGAACCGUUAUAACCGGCGAUUUCCGAAUGGGGAAACCCAGUGUGUUUCGACACACUAUCAUUAACUGAAUCCAUAGGUUAAUGAGGCGAACCGGGGGAACUGAAACAUCUAAGUACCCCGAGGAAAAGAAAUCAACCGAGAUUCCCCCAGUAGCGGCGAGCGAACGGGGAGGAGCCCAGAGCCUGAAUCAGUGUGUGUGUUAGUGGAAGCGUCUGGAAAGGCGCGCGAUACAGGGUGACAGCCCCGUACACAAAAAUACACAUAUUGUGAGCUCGAUGAGUAGGGCGGGACACGUGGUAUCCUGUCUGAAUAUGGGGGGACCAUCCUCCAAGGCUAAAUACUCCUGACUGACCGAUAGUGAACCAGUACCGUGAGGGAAAGGCGAAAAGAACCCCGGCGAGGGGAGUGAAAAAGAACCUGAAACCGUGUACGUACAAGCAGUGGGAGCACGCUUAGGCGUGUGACUGCGUACCUUUUGUAUAAUGGGUCAGCGACUUAUAUUCUGUAGCAAGGUUAACCGAAUAGGGGAGCCGAAGGGAAACCGAGUCUUAACUGGGCGUUAAGUUGCAGGGUAUAGACCCGAAACCCGGUGAUCUAGCCAUGGGCAGGUUGAAGGUUGGGUAACACUAACUGGAGGACCGAACCGACUAAUGUUGAAAAAUUAGCGGAUGACUUGUGGCUGGGGGUGAAAGGCCAAUCAAACCGGGAGAUAGCUGGUUCUCCCCGAAAGCUAUUUAGGUAGCGCCUCGUGAAUUCAUCUCCGGGGGUAGAGCACUGUUUCGGCAAGGGGGUCAUCCCGACUUACCAACCCGAUGCAAACUGCGAAUACCGGAGAAUGUUAUCACGGGAGACACACGGCGGGUGCUAACGUCCGUCGUGAAGAGGGAAACAACCCAGACCGCCAGCUAAGGUCCCAAAGUCAUGGUUAAGUGGGAAACGAUGUGGGAAGGCCCAGACAGCCAGGAUGUUGGCUUAGAAGCAGCCAUCAUUUAAAGAAAGCGUAAUAGCUCACUGGUCGAGUCGGCCUGCGCGGAAGAUGUAACGGGGCUAAACCAU